rnacentral:ncRNA from 2 species
UUUCUUGGUAGAGGUGCGGAGGCCAUGAGUAGCCGGGCGCGCGGUUCCGAUCCGCUUCGGACGCCUGAGCGAAAGGGGCUUCUCGACCGAUGAGGCCGAGGCAACUUUUUCCAGUUGGUUGUCCGCCGAAACUGCCGCGAUAGCUGGAGCGCGGCGGUUGGAGGGCAGGUCUAAGGCCUGUCCGCUGUCGUCCGUCUAUGUGAGCGGCCUUUUGGCCGCGCAGAAACGGAUGGAGCGCUAUCGAGAGG